rnacentral:tRNA from 1 species
GGUUGUGGCUCAGCGGUAGAGUGCUCGCCAUGCACAUGCGAGGCCUGGGUUCGAUCCUCAGUACCA